CUGAUCUCAAAUCAGG
rnacentral:rRNA from 1 species